AUCUCUGCAUCUUCGUUCCAAAAUCAAAGAGGAGAUUAUUUCCCCAGCUUCUCUCCGCUCUCUGCAUCGUCUCCAGUCCGCCAGCCUCCGACUCCGACGAUCUUGGGGUUCUUAGUAGGCGUUCUCAGUUCGCCAGCCAUCGACUUCGACGACAGUCGGCGUUCUCAGGUUGCCAGCCUCGUACUUUGACGAUCUUGGCCAUUCUCAGCUUCACCUUCGAUCACCGACGGGUCUGCUCACUCUCGGGUCUCUCUCCCUAACGCCGACGGUCUGUGACUCCCUCUCGGCUCUCUCUCCAAACGGUCGACGACAACCUCUUGGCUACGAGUUGCUCUCUCUGCCGAAACACAGUGAUCUCUCUUGCAACUACCUCAAUGGAUCAAUCCCCCCAAGCCUUUCUCGUGCACCCCUGCGCAUUCUGAGUGUACUGGGAAACCGACUCAGUGGUUCCAUUCCUCCAGAGAUUGGUAACAUUAGAACGCUCAGGGAGCUAUAAGUCUAA